rnacentral:rRNA from 1 species
GACGUAGGGUGCGAGCGUUGUCCGGAUUUAUUGGGCGUAAAGAGCGUGUAGGCGGCCAGGUAGGUCUGGUGUGAAAACUCGAGGCUUAACCUCGAGAUGUCAUCGGAAACCAUUUGGCUAGAGUCCGGAAGAGGAGAGUGGAAUUCCUAGUGUAGCGGUGAAAUGCGCAGAUAUCAGGAAGAACACCAAUGGCGAAAGCAGCUCUCUGGGACGGUACUGACGCUGAGACGCGAAAGCGUGGGGAGCGAACAGG